rnacentral:rRNA from 1 species
CGCUCUUUGAAACACAAAAAUAAAGAGUCGUGCCUGCCCAGUGAUAAUUUUAAACGGCCGCAGUACCCUGACUGUGCUAAGGUAGCAUAAUCACUUGCUUUUUAAUUGAGAGCUAGAAUGAAUGGCUUGACGAAAACAUUACUGUCUCUUUUACAUUAACUAAAAAUUAAUCUUUAGAUGAAAAAGUCUAAAUAACUUCAAAAGACGAAAAGACCCUAUCGAGCUUAAAAACAAUUUUAAUUCUAACUUACUAGAUAAAACAAAAUUAAAAUAUAAUUUUUUGUUGGGGCGACAGAAGAACAUACAAAGCUUCUUUUAAUUUAAUAAACUAAUAAGUUUAAAAGAUCCAUUAAUAAUGACUAAAAGAAAAGUUACCGUAGGGAUAACAGCGUAAUUUCUUUAGAGAGCUCAAAUUGAAAAAGAAGUUUGCGACCUCGAUGUUGGAUUAAAAAAUCUUUUUGAUGCAGCAGUCAAAAGAGAAGGUCUGUUCGACCUUUAAAAUUUU